rnacentral:lncRNA from 1 species
AUAAAAUAAAUUAGUAUUUAAAUUAUGCAUGGGCAUACAAUGUUUUGAUGUUUCAAAUUUUAGCAAAACUUAAUGUGCAUCAGAUUAUUAAAUAAAACUUUAAAAGUCUAGGUAACUCCUAGUCAUUUAGUUUUUCAAUUGGCCACUUUUCUUUUUCUUACAACGUUAAUUAAAACACCCUCAUGCUGAGAGGUCUUUGCUUUCCUUGGUGACUUUUCCUGGGAUUGAUAUGCUUUGACAGAUGGGGACUAUCUUUCAGUAAUUAUAGAAGUAAAGCUGACUUAGAUAUGUUCAUAUUCCCCUAAAAAUUUAAAGAUAAACACUAUCUGAAUGUUUAAAGUUAAACACUAUCUGAGCUUACAUGAUGGCUGUCAGAAAGAUUGCUACCUAAGACAAAAAAUUGCCGUCCAUUAAAUAUGAUAGGGUAUAAUUAGUCGCUACCCUGCUAACUCAUUUUUUUUAGCAUCAAGCCAUAUAUAAUGGAGUGAGAGUAUCAUGUAUUAUAUCCCUAAGACUAGUAAUAAAUGAUCAUAUGGAAUAAGGGUUUGUUAACACAGCAUAAAAUAGAGAUGUGCCAGUUAUUCAGAUCAAUAAAUGGUAAAUGAAUAAUUUUAAUAUGCAAGAUCUGCAUGGGUCCUGUAAUUUGCCAAAAUAAGUAAUCAUAAUUAUUUAUCUCAUUAAUGCAUUAUAAGUCAUAUUUGUAAUAAGAUUAAGCCUGAACUUUUAAGAGUUCCCUUCGUGGCUCAGCGGUUAACAAACCCGACUAGGAUCCAUGAGGAUGUGGGUUCAAUCUCUGGCCUUGCUCAGUGGACUAAGGACCCAAUGUUGCCAUGAGCUGUGGUGUAGGUUGCAGGGGAAGCUCAGAUCCCACGUGAAUAUAGCUAUGGUGUAGGCUGGCAGCUGUGGCUCCAAUUCAACCCCUAUCCUGGGAACCUCCAUAUACCUCGGGUGUGGCCCUAAAAAGACCAAACAAAACAAAACAAAACAAAACCAAAUUAUUUUCUUAAAUUAACCAAAUCUUAGCAAGGUUGUGAGUUUUUCUGCUUUCAUGAUUGCUGUGGCUAUCGACUGCAUUGGAACCCCCAUCAGCUGUGAAAACGUCCCCAGAUGGAUGAACGUGUCAGGACACUGGCCAUUUGUUUACUGUGUUGAGACACAGUUAAGACAAAGGCCAACUUUUUUCCUCACUAUCUCUCAUCAGCUAAUCUGUCAAUGAAAAGAGAAAUGUUUUUCUUCCCUAUGAAUUAGGUUUCUGGAGCUUUGUGGUACAGGAAAUUGUAUGUAUCCUUUACUUUUUUUUUUUUUAUUUUCUUUUUCUUUUUUUCUUUUUUCUGGCAGGGCUGCUCCUGCAGCAUAUGGAGUUGCCCAGGCUAGGGUCAAAUUGGAGCUGUAGCUACCAGCCACAGCCACAGCCACAGCCAUGCCAGAACUGAGCUAUGAGUCUUGUCUGUGACCUACACCACAGCUCAUGGCAACACUGGAUCCUUAACCUACUGAGUGAGGCCGGGGAUCAAAUGCGCACCCUCCUAGAGCAUAGUCAGGUCUUUAACCAGCCAAGCUCCAGCGAGAACUCCAGAGGUACCUUUUACUUGAUCAACACUUUGUUGUUUGGUCCCAAAUCUUCUCCAGAUAUUUAUUAUACCGCCUUAAAAUCAUUCUCCCUAAGGCCCGAGUCAUGCUACUAAAAUUACUAUUUGCCAAAUCAUCACUUAACAGUCAAAAAACUGAUACAAUUUCAAUUAUCUGUAAAAAUACCUUGAAGAGCAAAACCACAUAGGAAUGUGCUGAUUUGAAUAUUCAUAUUUUGGAGUCUGACUUGAAAAAUAUUUGUUUACAUAUUUUUGUAGGUGGAAAGUAUUCUCUCAAAGGUAUUAUUUUAAGACAAUUAUAAAAUACAAGGAUUUUCAAAAAAAAUAGAAAGGCAGUUAAUUAAGUAGCUCCCAUGGAAACCACCAGAGAAAAUGUUAACAGGGUCAGCAUAGGAUAGAAAGACAGAACUGAACAGCGAAAGUUAAAGCUUUACUCUGUGCCAUUGAACGAGUCACAUUUUUUUCCCCCUGCACUCUUAGCUAUAUAAUACAUAGUUUGAAUUUGCUUAAAAUUCUCUAUUUUGAUAUGCUGUAUCCUUUAAGUGGAUGUUGAAGUUGUUCAAAUGUAAAGUUUGUUUUUGCUUUCAUAGAUACUGAAAAAGGGGUGAAGAAAACGUGAUUGGGUAGAAGGCUCCCUUUUCUAAAAUGUGGAGGUUAUUUUGCUGGGAAGAAACCAUGAGGUCAAAUAGAACUCUGUGACUACUACCGCAUGCAGUAAACAUAACUCCUCUUGGAAUGGAUGCCAGGGCAGUGCACCAAAUACUGGCCAGUCCAGGUGUAGAGAAGUAAAUAAUUCACAGUGGGAAUUAUUUCUGAGUUGCUGCAAAAUGUUGGUGCUUCUGCUGUCUUUUUCUUUGAGUUCCAAAGUUGCCAAGAACUCAUUCACAGCAUUUCUCAUGCAUUGGGAGGAUGCUGCAGAAGAGUCAGGAAUUGUCUCUGCCCAGUGAAAAUCUAAGCCGAUUCCAGAUGUAACUGUCCAAAAGUUCAUUUAAUCUUCGGUAUCUUCAUUGAAUCUCAGUAGCUUUUUAUGGACAGAUCCCACCACCACCACCCCUUGCUUCCUCCCUUCCUCCCUUCCUUCCUCCCUCCCUGUCUGUCUGUCUGUCUUUCCUUUCCUUCCUUCCUUCCUUCCGAUUGUAAAUGUGAUAACACAUUAUGUUGCUGGCUCUGCAGUUCUCUAUAAUAGAAGGAAAAGGGAGUAGGAAGGCUACUAGCUAGUUUGUCUUUUGAGUGUGUCUGGUGGGCACUGAGGGAGAGGAGGGGCUUACCUGGCUUGUGCAGGCUGACCUGGGUGUGGGUGCGGCUGCGUGGUGCUGCGCAGCCAUGGCUGGAGGACGUGACCCCGUGUGGAGCAGGCCUGGCUUCAAGGUGAUUCCAAGAGGGAGACAGAGGAGAAUUUUCUUUCUGCUGAAGUUUUAAAGCCCAUCUCCAGAUGGCAAAGGGAAGAAUCAGGCAGAUGAAUAAAAACAAUAAAUGUUUAUGGCUGUGCUAAUAAAGCUGCAUUCUGUUGGAAUGUGCUUCAUGUACCAGGCGGGUGGAGCUAAGAUUCCAGGAAUUCAAGGAUGUAAAAAGAACCUCUCUCACCCGCUGACUAGUAUUGGAAGAGAAGUUUUUUAGUUCUACAACUGGAGCUAAGGCAUUACUCACAGACACUACUGGGAGGGAAAACUUGUGGCUAUUACAAAUUAUUCAUGUUCUUUUCGUAAUGGCCUAUUUUGUGGAAAAGGGUCAUAGUGCAAGAGCAUUUGGUUUGGGGACAGGGAUUCCCAAACAGGAAGGAAGGACUGGAAAGCAGUGUCAGCUUAGUGGGUUGAUGGAAAUUCUUUCAAAAAUUUAGUCUAUACAUAAAUGAAGAGUUUUACAAAUUAAAUAUAUGUGACUUUCCAUGCAGCAUAACUCUCACUCUGGUGUUUUACUAGGACACGGUUGAGAGAGAUGGUUUUAUCUGGAAUAACCACCAAUUCCUAUGACAAUGGAAUUGUCCCCCAGCCAUUGAAAUGUACUUUAAAGACAGCAACUAAAAACUGUUAGCGUCACACUGAUUCCAGGAUUGAGAGACAGUAAAUGGUCAUUGAAAAAGCAACCUUGGUAUGUGUAAAAAUGUCUGUCCUCCAUGAGACAUGCGGUAUUAAAUAGCCAGAGGGAAACGAUGAAGUUAUACAUAGUCCUGAGGAGAGUUCAUAUAUGAGAAGUAAUUUGAGGAAAACUUGCACAACCAAACCCAAGUGAAACAUAACAAACAUCUUCUCACGUGCACAGCAGAGCUCCCAAGAAGGUGACAGACAUCUCCUGGAGUUCAAAAUAAGGGCAAAGCCGACAAAUGGAGAAGCAGACAGGAGUGAAUGUGGAAACCGCCCCUCUCCUCUGUGCUCACCUGUGUCUCAGCAGUUAAAGUUUUACUGAAAUGAUCCUCUUAUGCAUACGUGUCUGCUUCUAGACAGUAAGAUCCUCAAGGAUCUCUUGCCCAAAGUUUGCCAAAGUAGACAUAAGUUCUGAAGUACAAAUAGAAAUCUUAGGGCUGGUGAAUGCUUCCAUCUGGUGUAAACUUCCGCCUGGCACUAUCACCCUCUCUGGAGUCAUGAGUGGUGUUCUCACCACGUUUUUGCCUCUUAAUUUUUCCACUUAUUUUUUUCCAGCUGUAUUGACAUAUAAUUGACAUAUAGCACCAUAUAAGUUCAAGGUUAUACAGUGUAAUGAUUUGCCUUACUGUAUUGUGAAAUGAUUAUCACAAUGAGUUUAUUAAAAUCCAUCACCUUACAUAGAUACAAAAAAUUUUUUUUUUCCUUGUGGUAAGAAAUCUUGGGUACGCUUCCCUUCACUUUCAGGGAAUUCUGUUGUGGCUCAGCAGGUUAAAGAUCUGGCAUUGGCACUGCAGUGACUCAGGCCACUUCUUGUGGCAUGGAGUGGGUUCUUUACGGAAAUUUCCACAGGCUGUGCAUGCAGCCCAAAAAGAAAAAAGAAAACAACCCAAAACAAAACCCCAGCGGUCAAAUGUACCAGACAGCAGUGUUAGCUAGUCAUCAUGCUGCAGGUUACAUCCGUAGUACUUAUUUAUAUUGUAGCUGGAAGUUUGUACCUUUUGACCACUUUUUUGGGUGGCUUUAUAGCUCUGAAAAGUCCUUCUUUGAUAAGUCCAAUGCCCUUCCUAUAACUUCUACCUCAAGUCCCGGUCCUGCCUUCUGGAGCCAUGAUGGAGUCUGUCUUGUCCUCUGUACACAGUUGCAAUUAGGACAAGCCGCCUUCCACUUAGCCGCCUCAUCGCGGGCUUCCCUUGGCCACUUCCUGUUCCUGUCUUUUCUCAGUCUUCCACACCCAGGUCACCAUCAGUACUGGUCAGCACCGUAUAGGCUGCUGGUAACAGAAAAUGUGACAAAGGUGGCGUAAACAAAACAGCUGCUUAUGUGUUCAGUUGCUUUUAUCCUGUGAAAAACUCAGAGGUAGGCAGUCCUGGCCGUGCCGUCAGAGACCCACGUUCCUCUCAUCACCCAGCAUCUUUGACGCUGUUGCACGUUAACUCCAUGGCUGCUCCACCCUCAGGACAGAGUCUCUAUUCCAAACCAGAAGAGAAAGGGCACAAAGUAAAAGGAAUGCGUCUUUAGAAGAUGUGCUCUUAACAGGGCUUUUCCAGGAGGAGCAUAGUUUCACAAAUGUCUGAUUCACCACGACUCUGUCACAUAGUUGCGAGUGUUGCUGGGAGAGAUAGUAAUUCAGAGGGCACCUUUUCUCCUUGAAAAAAAAUUAUAAGGAGAAAGGGAGAACAAAUAUUGAUAAUGAUAGGCAACUAAUAAUAUAGGUCAAUGAACAGAACUUGGCUAAUGACCUUCUUAAAAGAAAGAUCUGUAUGCUAGCCAAUAUAUCCUAGAAUGCUGAGGCCAGCAGAGUAUUCAGUGACCAUAACCUCUCUCUAUCUGUGGAUAUAAACCUGCUAGGAUGGCUUAAGAUUGGUCCUGUGUUUUCAUGGUGCUACAUCACUAUUAGGUAUCUGGACUUGACACUCUAUCUACUGAUACAAAGGGUCCACUUAUAGGACUUGAGCAUCUGUGGAGUUUGGAAUCCACAACAGAUCCUGGAAACAGUUGCCCACAGAUACCAAGGACGACUGCGCGUCACUUUAUAAUGAACUAAAAAAUGUAGCUGUUUCUCUCAUUCUCCUAUUCAGCUACCACUAAAACUGUGUAGCUGCUAUUCUGAAAACCGAUGCAGAAAGUUACAUUUAGUCCAGGGGAUUUCAUCAUGCAUGGCUGGGUCCAUCAUUUUAAUAUGCUGAAGUCUUUUUGAAAAUUUAUCAUCUCCUGCAUUCACCAUCUCCCCUAAAUUUGCAUCAUUUGCAACUUAAUGAGUGUUUUUAUAUAAUUUUGUAAGGAUACAUGUAAACCCAUAAUUAGAUUGAGAUGGGAUAAAUAUAUUAGUGACAAUAUGUACAGGGUAGAAGAGGAACUUGGGAGAACAUGGAUCUGGCUCAAUUUGUCUAGAUUCUGGAAGGUUAAGAAACCAGAUGAUACCGAUGUUGAGUAGUAAGGAUGAGAGGAACUUUCCCUGAGAGAUCACAUCGAAAUGAGUAUCCCUGAAAGAAAGGACAGACUAAGAAAAGGCCCAGACGUGGGCAUUCCCAUCCUGGCUCAGUGGAAACGAAUCUGACUAGCAUCCAUGAGGAUGCAGGUUCGAUCCCUGGCCUCGCUGGGUAGGUUAAGGAUCCAGUGUUGCCAUGAGCUGUGGUGUAGGUCACAGACAUGGCUCGGAUCCCACAUUGCUAAGGCUGUGGCAGCUACAGCUCUAAAUCAACCCCUAGCCUGGGAACUUCCAUUUGCCACGGGUGCUGCCCUAAAAAGACAAAAGACAAAAAAGGAAGGAAGGAAGGAAGAAAAAAGAAAAGAAAAGAAAAGAAAAA